AUUGAACGCUGGCGGCAUGCCUUACACAUGCAAGUCGAGCGGAAAGGCCAUUUCGGUGGUACUCGAGCGGCGAACGGGUGAGUAACACGUGAGUAAUCUGCCCUUCACUCUGGGAUAGCCCUCCGAAAGGGGGAUUAAUACCGGAUAUGACAUGUCCCUGCAUGGGGGUGUGUGGAAACUUUUUUUGGGUGGGGGAUGUGCUCGCGGCCUAUCAGCUUGUUGGUGGGGUAAUGGCCUACCAAGGCUUUGACGGGUAGCCGGGCUGAGAGGGUGACCGGCCACACUGUGACUGAGACACGGCCCAGACUACUACGGGGGGCAGCAGUGGGGAAGAUUGGACAAUGGGCGGAAGCCUGAUCCAGCAACGCCGCGUGAGGGAUGACGGCCUUCGGGUUGUAAACCUCUUUCAGCACCGACGAAGCGCAAGUGACGGUAGGUGCAGAAGAAGGACCGGCCAACUACGUGCCAGCCGCCGCAGUAACAC
rnacentral:rRNA from 1 species